rnacentral:rRNA from 1 species
CACGUAGGGCGCAAGCGUUGUCCGGAAUUAUUGGGCGUAAAGAGCUCGUAGGCGGUCUGUUACGUCUGCUGUGAAAACCCGGGGCUCAACCCCGGACUUGCAGUGGGUACGGGCAGACUAGAGUGUGGUAGGGGAGACUGGAAUUCCUGGUGUAGCGGUGAAAUGCGCAGAUAUCAGGAGGAACACCGAUGGCGAAGGCAGGUCUCUGGGCCACUACUGACGCUGAGAAGCGAAAGCAUGGGGAGCGAACAGG